GGCCCUUUAUUUUUAAUUUAAUUUAAGCAUAUAUAAUAUUUCAACAUUUAACUAUUUAACAUGUUUGAUUCACAAAUGUAAGUGAUAUAUGAAUGAACUUAGAUUAACAUGUUGCCUAGGGUUAGUAUGUGUGUUUGUCUGUCUGUCAAUCAUUUUACGUCAAUGACAUUGUAAGUCUGUUUUUAGAUUUCUAGUGUUGGGGCAGCCAUCUUUUUGUUUUCAUUUGGUCACUGGUUAUAACCUUAAGUACCUUGCAUGAGCAUGACAGAGAAUGAUGCAGUGACUUGGGAAGUUUACUUUGUGAGAGACACAAUUGAGAAGGCACUUGACUUCCCUUAAGAAGCCAUCUGUAAACUGUGUGUGCCUACAGUACAGUACAGUACACGCUGUCCCUAAUGUUAACACCACAGAUAAUACUCUCAGAGCUUCAUAGAUUAACUGCCAACACAGAGAUGAUAACUAUGCUGUUGUCACGGCCCUCCCUGCUGCGACCUAGCCGUGACUCCUGAUGACUGUGUGUGUGAGAAUAUUUUUGUUUAUUUUGUUCCCUUCGGUGUGGCUGUUGUGUUUUGGUUUGGCUUUUUUCUCCUUUCUCCCUCUCUCCCUCAUCUCCCGGUCUGCAGGGUAGUUGGGGGACGUGACUGUUGCCUUGGGAGCUGAUUGCCAUCUAAUCCUGUUGCCGCACCUGAUCCUCGCUCCCUCGGGUUCCAGUCUUAUUUAAGUGGGAGCCUGACAUCCUGUCCUCGCUGGAUCGUUAAGUUGUACUCGAACUCCAACCCGUCUGGAACCGAUAUUCAACCCUAUUAGAAGACAUCUGGAUUGAACUUCCUCGCCAGUCACCUGUCAGCUCCCCUUUGCUGUUGCUCACGCUCACCAGCCAGUCUGUUCGCUUGCUCCCUUGCCCAGCUUCACAGUCUCCUGCCCUGUCCGUUAGUCUACUCCCGUAGCCAGCUCUGCUCAGCUAGCCCCAGCCCCCAUCAGCCACUACCUGCUCUGCCUUUCUGUCUGAAUAUAUUCCUGAAAACCUGU